ACCAGGUGUGGUGGUGUACGCCUGUGAUCCCAGAGGCUCAGGAGGCUGAGACAGGAGGAUCGCAAGUUCAAAGCCAACCUCAGCAAGGCACUAAUCAAUUCAGUGAGACCCUGUCUCUA
rnacentral:sRNA from 1 species